GCCAGUGUGGUGGUGCACACCUGUAGUCCCAGAUACUCGGGAGGCUGAGGUGGGAGGAUCACCUGAGCCCAGGAGGUCUAGGCUACAGUGAGCCAUGAUCAUGCCACUGUACUCCAGCCUGGGUGACAAAGUGAGACCCUGUCUCAA
ensembl:misc_RNA Metazoa_SRP Metazoan signal recognition particle RNA